AAAUUGUAAAGAGCGCAGGGUGGAUGCCUAGGUGCCAGAGACUGAAGAAAGACGUGGCCAGCUGCGAUAAGCUUCGGGGAGCUGCAAGCAAGCUUAGAUCCGGAGAUUUCUGAAUGGGAGAACCUGAUAUCCGUCGAGGAUAUCGUCCUAACGGUGAAUUCAUAGCCGUAAGGAAUGGAACUCAGGGAAUUGAACCAUCUCAGUACCUGAAGGAAAAGAAAGUAAAAACGAUUCCCAUAGUAGCGGCGAGCGAAUUGGGAAGAGCCUAAACCAGGCCAGGUGUUAAAGCCCGGCGGCGUUGCCGGUCUGGUGUCGAGGGAUUGCACGUGGAAGCAUGCCGGUGCUUCUGAGGACGAUUCGGGCUGUUCUAAUCGAAGUCGGCUGGAAAGCCGCACUGAAGAAUGUGAAAGUCAUGUAGGUGAAAGAGCAGAGACGUCCUUGUGUGACACCCGAGUACUACGGAAUCUGAGGGAGUCCGUGGGAAUCCGCGAGAACCUUCUCGCAAGGCUAAAUAUUUUCUGGCGACCGAUAGUGUAGCAGUACCGUGAGGGAAAGGUGAAAAGUAUGCCGGUGAGGCAGGUGAAAUAGAACCUGAAACCCUGCGUUUACAAGACAGUCACAAGACUAUGACGUUCUUCGGAGCGUAAUGUCUGGUGGCGUGCCUAUAGAAGAAUGAUCCGACGAGUUAUUGCAUGUAGCGAGGUUAAGCAGGUAAUUGCGGAGCCGCAGCGAAAGCGAGUCUGAAGAGGGCGAAAGUUGCAUGUAGUAGACCCGAAACCAGGUGAGCUACCCUUGGCCAGGAUGAAGCUUUGGUAACACAAAGUGGAGGUCCGAAUGCCUCAACGUUGAAAAGUUGAGUAAUGAGCUGUGGGUAGGGGUGAAAAGCCAAUCGAACCUGGAGAUAGCUGGUUCUCCCCGAAAUAGUUUUAGGACUAGCCUCGGAGAAGAAUCUGCUGGGGGUAAAGCACUGAAUAGGCUAGGGGGCACACCAGCUUACCAACCCUAAUCAAACUCUGAAUACCAGCAGAUGUUAUCCGGGAGUCAGGCACAGUGAGAUAAGUUUCUGUGUCGCGAGGGAAACAGCCCAGACCGUCAGUUAAGGUCCCAAAGUAUAUGCCGAGUGGGAAAGGAUGUGGAGGUCCCCAGACAGCCAGGAGGUUGGCUUAGAAGCAGCCAUUCCUUUAAAGAGUGCGUAAUAGCUCACUGGUCGAGGGCUUCUGCGCCGAAAAUGUAACGGGGCUAAGCAUAUCACCGAAACCACGGGUUCGUUUGUUCUUAGGAACGAAUGGGCGGUAGGGGAGCGUUCUGCCGUAGUAAGAAGCGUUACCGUAAGGAGACGUGGACGAAGCAGAAGUGAGAAUGUCGGAACGAGUAGCGAUAAGACAGGCGAGAAACCUGUUCGCCGUAAACCUGAGGUUUCCUGGGCAAGGUUAAUCCUCCCAGGGUCAGUCGGUCCUAAGCCGAGGCCGAGAGGCGUAGGUGAAGGGAAACGAGUUAAUAUUCCGUACCUGUGAUGAAUGUUCUAUCGAAGGAGUGACGCAGAAGGCUAUGUCCGCGGGGACCGAGUUCUCCGUCUGGGCUUGAUACCGGCCUGCAGGCAAAUCCGCAGGCGUGAGGUUCUGGAGUCCGGCAACCCGAAACAAGUAGGGGGAGUGAGCAGAUGCCACGCUGCCGAGAAAAGCUUCUAAGAGAAGAAGAUCCAGACCGUACCGCAAACCGACACAGGUGGGUGAGGAGAAAAUCCUAAGGCGCUCGAGAGAAUCCACGUUAAGGAAUUCGGCAAAUUGACUCCGUAACUUCGGGAGAAGGAGUGCUCCAUGGUGUGACUGAAGCAUGUUAGCAAUAGUAUGUCGUCAGGUAGUGCUGUGGAGUCGCAGAGAAUAGAACCAGGCGACUGUUUAUCAAAAACAUAGGACUUUGCCAAAGCGAACAGCCGAAGUAUAAGGUCUGAUGCCUGCCCAAUGCUGGAAGGUUACGGGGAGGAGUCAGGGGUCUCGUGCCCUGCAGCUCUGAACUUAAGCCCCAGUGAAUGGCGGCCGUAACUAUAACGGUCCUAAGGUAGCGAAAUCCCUUGUCAGGUAAGUUCUGACCCGCAUGAAUGGCUUAACGGUCUGGUUACUGUCUCAACGUGGAAUUCGGCGAAACUGUGCACCGGGUGAAGACGCCCGGUAUCCGCAUCAGGACAAAAAGACCCCAUGGAGCUUUACUGUAUCUUGAUAUUGAAAUUUGGCCUGUUAUGUAGAGUAUAGGUGGGAGACUAUGAAGUUAGGGCGCCAGCCUUGGCGGAGUCAGCAAUGGAAUACCACCCUUAGUAGUCUGGAUUUCUAACCUUGGGCCCUUGACCGGGUCUGGGGACAGUGUCAGGUGGGCAGUUUGACUGGGGCGGUCGCCUCCAAAAGAGUAACGGAGGCGUUCAAAGGUUCCCUCAGCGUGAUUGGAAACCACGCGCAGAGUGUAAAGGCAAAAGGGAGCUUGACUGUGAGGCAGACAAGCCGAUCAGGGACGAAAGUCGGACUUAGUGAUCCGGUGGUACCGCAUGGAAGGGCCAUCGCUCAACGGAUAAAAGCUACCCUGGGGAUAACAGGCUUAUCUCUCCCAAGAGUUCAUAUCGACGGGGAGGUUUGGCACCUCGAUGUCGGCUCAUCGCAUCCUGGGGCUGGAGUAGGUCCCAAGGGUUGGGCUGUUCGCCCAUUAAAGCGGUACGUGAGCUGGGUUCAGAACGUCGUGAGACAGUUCGGUCUCUAUCCGAUGCGGACGUAGGAUGAUUGCGAGGCUCUGCCCUUAGUACGAGAGGACCGGGGUGGACAAACCGAUGGUGAACCAGUUGUAUGGUCGCAUGCACCGCUGGGUAGCUAAGUUUGGACGGGAUAACCGCUGAAGGCAUCUAAGUGGGAAACCCACCUCAAGAUUAAUCAUCCCUGCUGACCGUAAGGCAGCGUAAGGAACCAUGUAGUCUACGUGGUGAUAGGCCGGAGGUGAAAUAGCUGCGAGGCUUUGAGCUGACCGGUACUAAUAUUCCGAAUA
rnacentral:rRNA from 1 species